CGCCAGGUUUCCUCCUCGAGUGCGCCAGGAGGCGCUCGGUGAGUGGGGGGGUACUGUCAUGUACUGUCAUGUUGUCUUGUCUCUGUCCUUUCCCUUCACCCUGUCUCCCUCUGCUGGUCGUGUUAGGUUACCUUUUCUCCCCCGCUUUCCCCCAGCUGUCCCUUGUCUCCUCUAACUACCCAUUCACCCCGUUCCCCACCUGUUCCCUUUUUUCCCUCUGAUUAGGUCCCAAUAUCUCUCUCUGUUUCUGCUCCUGUCCUUGUCGGAUUCUUGUUUGUUUGUGUCAUUCAUGCCUGAACCAGACUGUCGUCAUGUUUGCUGUAACCUUGUCCUGUCCUGUCGGAAUCUGCCGGUCCAUCUGAGCCUACCUAUGUUUGGUAAUUAAAGAAGCUCUGUUUAAGUUGAUUCGCUUUUGGGUCCUCAUUCACGCACCGUAACAUACAUAGUUGACUGUUUCUUUUCUCUCUGUAAUACUGUAAAAAAAAACAUUUUACAGAUGCUCUGUAGACACAAGCCUAUUUUCCAACAUAUGUUUUGAUAAUUCAGCCCAGAUGUAUGGAGUGUAUAAGUGCCAGUCAUGUUUUCCCUUUGAGAUUGUCCCUUGUGUUUUAACCUAAUUCUAAAGCAAUGGUAAAUGACCAAAUUUGGAAUGCACUGAAAUUAUAGUUGUAUUUUGCUCAAAUCUCUAGAAAUAUGCACAAGAUGUACUUUGAUGAGAACAACCAUUUGAUCCGAAGAGACGUGAUCCAGCCUAUCACUGAAAGUGACCCCAAAGUGGAGGUGAUGGUAUCUUUCAGACUGCAUUGUAUGCACACUAUACUGUAUGUAUUUGUACAGUGAGGAACUGACAUGUGUGUGGACCUCUUUUUUGACCCCAUAGGUCAGGAGGUUAAAGUGUCCAUUACUGAUGGUCAUUGGAGAAGCUGACCAGAACUGUGCCACUGCGGAAUCUGUCCAGGAUUGAUCAUGUUGUGGGGAGGGUCCAAAUGGAGGGGGAUCCUGGAGUUCCUCCUCUCCUUUCUCUAUAGGCUGUUAUUUCUGGACCUUCCGUCCAGCCUCCACUGUGAGACCACAGGAUGUCCUUUAGAUAUGGAAAUGCCCCCGUUUAUAGAAAGUCUCCCUCUGUUUCCCUUCUCAAAUGCCAAGACAUUCCACAUUAGACUGAAGAAGUAGUCUCGGCUGCGCUGAUUCUGCCAGAACUGCAACUGUACUACAGUAAUGGAAUCUUCAACACGGUCUGAGGGGAACGCUUUAAAAGACGAGUGUCUGAGGAGAUCUACCUCAAGCUGUUUCAACACCGACUGUGACUCCGGCUGAAUUCCUCCUCUCUCUCUCUCUCUCUCUCUCUCUCUCUCACUCUCCGUCCAGGGUAGCUACGGCCAGUCUAUUAAUCAGAUCAGAUUCCCCCCUCUCGCUGCCUGGUAGGUUAUUACUGACCCCACUAUUCACGUUUUCUGCUGUUGUUAUUGCAGUCUUUCAUGGCUAAGUGGCAGCGGCGGCCUCAACUAUGUGCUGUGUGGACAGAUGGAGGGAGAGAUAUGCAAAACCAGAGCAGCUGCACCAACAGAGAAAACAAUAUGUCCUUAUUAUACCUCUCGUAACACGCAAAUCAAUCCAUCAUUAGCUCGUUCAGGCAUCCACCACUCACGCUCCUGCCUCGUUAUCACGCCUGUCAUUCCCAUGGUAAUUGAGGAGAGGGUUUGCAAUAAGCUUCAGUCCGCUGAUUAGGAUGUCAUGUGCAAUUUGGGUAGUGUUUGUCAGCGAUACAUAGGCUGUCUGAAAUGGCAUGCUAUUCCCUAUACACUGAGUGUACAAAACAUUAAGAACACCACCUUCCUAAUAUUGAGUUUCACCCCCUUUUUGCCCUCAGAUCAGCCUCAAGUUGUCGGGGAAUGGACUCUACAAGGUGUCAAGUGUUCCACAUGUUGACUUCAAUGCAGUUGGGUCAAGUUGGCUUGGAUGUCUUUUUGUCUUGCCCAUUGCUCAACAUCUCCAGACUUAAAAAUCCUUCUUUAACCUGUCUCCUCCCCUUCAUCUACACUGAUUGAAGUGCAUUUAACAAGCGACAUCAAUAAGGGAUCAUAGCUUUCACCAGUUGUUCCUAAUGUUUUGAACACUCAGUGUAUAGUGCACUACUUUUGACCAGAGCGCUAUGGAGUGCUUGUACUCCAGCUGGUGGGGGUUCAAUACCCAUGUGUUGGAUACACAGUGGGGGAGCAGGACAAGGUCAGCUCUCUGCCUCACAUCUUUUAUCAUCUCCAAUUAGUUGUUAAUUGUAGCUAAUUCGUUAGAGCCUGUAGCUAUGAUAAUGACAUUCCACCUGUACUGUUUCACCAGACAGUACUCGCACAGUAGGAACCAAUUGGAGGUUUCAUUGGCUCAGUGGGUUAGAGCAUGAUGCUGGCAACACCAGGGUUGUGUGUUCAAUUCCCGCACAGGCCACUGAAUACAGCUCUAUUUGUCACUUUCGCAUCUGUUAAAUGAUGCGAAGCUCAAGGCAAAUGUCCAAAGAACUUGAUUUGUGUUAAGAAUAAGACCAAACUUGAAGGGAGGAAUAUUCCAUGCUCAGCCUGAUAGAUUGUCCAUGUAGUCUCUGAUGAGAGUUUUAGUUGUAUUACACUAUGAACUCUCUGGUAUAGAAUCACAUACCAUGAAAGCAGAUGUGUGUGACGGAAUAUUUUGGCUUAGAGUGGAACCACCCGUAACCCUAGCCAUCGCUCAAUGUAUUUAACUUUGGUGUGGCAACAAAAAACACGUGUGUGUGUGUGUGUGUGUGUGGCCGCUUGUGAAACAAAGAUACAGUCAUAAGUACAGGUGGACAGUCCAGAUUGCGUGAUGAAUUCUAUAAACUGAAAGAUUUAUUUAUCCUCCCAACAAGAUGUUUUUGGAAAACUCCAAAUGAAGCAUACCAAUGUUUUAUCAUCUCU
rnacentral:lncRNA from 13 species